rnacentral:lncRNA from 10 species
CAACAAUGGCCUGGGGGCCCAGCGCAGUGAGGCGGUGACACUCAACUUCACAGUGCCUACUGGGGCCAGAAGCAAUCAUCUUACCUCAGGAGUCAUUGAGGGGCUGCUCAGCACCCUUGGUCCAGCCACCGUGGCCUUAUUAUUUUGCUACGGCCUCAAAAGAAAAAUAGGAAGACGUUCAGCCAGGGAUCCACUCAGGAGCCUUCCCAGCCCUCUACCCCAAGAGUUCACCUACCUCAACUCACCUACCCCAGGGCAGCUACAGCCUAUAUAUGAAAAUGAACCAAGAGAACAAUCAGUGGCUGUGCAUGGCAGACAACAGCAUUCCUCAGAGCAGAAGGCUCAGAAACCCUGGGGACACAUAUGGAGGACAAGGUUUCCUUAGACAUCUAUUCCAGGCUGAGGAAAGCAAACAUUACAGAUGUGGACUAUGAAGAUGCUAUGUAAGGUUAUGGAAGAUUCUGCUCUUUGAAAACCAUCCAUGACCCCAAGCCUCAGGCCUGAUAUGUUCUUCAGAGAUCCUGGGGCAUUAGCUUUCCAGUAUACCUCUUCUGGAUGCCAUUCUCCAUGGCACUAUUCCUUCAUCUACUGUGAAGUGAAGUUGGCGCAGCCCUGAAGAAACUACCUAGGAGAACUAAUAGACACAGGAGUGACAGGGACUUUGUUAUCAGAACCAGAUUCCUGCCGGCUCCUUUGAAAACAGGUCAUAUUGUGCUCUUCUGUUUACAAGAGGAAACAAGAUGGAAUAAAAGAAAUUGGGAUCUUGGGUUGGAGGGACAGUGAAGCUUAGAGCACAUGAACUCAAGGUUAGUGACUCUGCAGGACUUCACAGAGAGAGCUGUGCCCAUCAUUCAGUCCAAGUGCUUUCUCUGCCCAGACAGCACAGAACUCCAGCCCCGCUACUUACAUGGAUCAUCGAGUUUCCACCUAAAAUAUGAUUCUAUUUAUUUUGAGUCACUGUUACCAAAUUAGAACUAAAACAAAGUUACAUAAAAAGUUAUUGUGACUCCACUUAAUUUUAGUGACGUAUUUUUGUAUAUAUAGGCCAACCUAUACCACAUCCAAAAUUAUGUAUCUAUUACAGCCCCUAGAAGCUUUAUAAAUACAGUGUGUCUUCUUUUAUUCACAAAAUUUUUGAAAUCGUGGUAAUAUGGUUUGAAACCUGUAUCUUAAUUAUUUUUUUUUUAAAUUGAGACAGGGUCUCACUCUGUCACUCAAUCUGGAAUGCAGUGGCACAAUCUUGCCUCACUGCAACGCCUGCCUCUCAGGCUCAAGCAAACCUCUCACCUCAGCCUGCUGAGUAGCUGGGACUACAGGCACAUGCCACCAAACUUGGCCAUUUUUUGUCUUACGUAGAGACAAGAUUUCACCGUUUUGCCCAGGCUGGUCUCAAACUCCUGGGCUCAAGCAAUGUAUUGAAUUUUAAAAUAACCAGGCACUCACUCUUAUGAAUUAAUAAACAUUUGGAGGUAUAUAAAGUAAAAAGUUAAAGUCUUUCCUGUAAGUUAACACAAAUGUUAACUAUUGUUAAAAACUUUACAGGUAGCUCUCUAGAUAUUUUUCUAUUUUUGUAUGUAUACUUAUGCAUACAUGUAAGUAUAUAAACAUUUAGAAGUGUACCUAUCUAACAAACUAUUAUGAAAUACUUUCAAAUCUGUAAAUAGAUCUAUUAUACUAUUUUAAAAGUCUCUAUAGUAGUGUGUUAUAUAGAUAAAUCAUAACUUUUUUCUUUUUUUAUUGUAGUAAAUAUGCACAACAUAAAAUUGAUCAUUUUAACCAUUUUUAAGUGUACAAUUCAGUGGCAUUAAGUACUAUCAUAAUAUAUUUUAAUCCUUCUCAUCACUGGUGGACAUUAAGGAGACUCUCAAAAAAUUCAUAUUAUAAAAACAAAGUUCAAACAAAUGUCUUUGUACUAGCAUAUUAUGGCACUCCUGCUGGAUUAUCUGAAGGAUAAAUUUGUAAAUCUAGUAUUGCUAGAUUAUGCAUAUUAAAUAUUCUUGUUAAAUAGUCUUCAAUGUCUCUCAGGUAAGGCUGUAUCAAUUUAUAUCUUCACCAACAACGUCUGGGAAAUCAGUUUGUGGGGUGUAUUACUUAGUUUUCACAUUGCUAAUAAAGACAUAUCCAAGACUGGGUAAUUUAUAAA